AAAGUGUCAUGAAGCAAACACAGACAGAGGGCAACACUGAGGGGAAACUCCUUUGUUCCUUUUCCAAACUGCUAACUUUUUUCCCCUAUUGGGAAGCGUGCAGGGGAAGUUAAAGGAUGACAGACCCUUUUUCGCUUCAAAGUACUAAUACGUUCCAUACCUCAGAGUUGCUUACAUCAUUAAUCAGCGGGAUGGCUGUGCUUGAUGGUGGACGUAAGCUGGAAAAAAUCCACGGACUAACAGAGAUUUAGGGUUAGUGCUUCUCUAACUCAACACCUUGAUGACACGGGCAGCUGGGGUGCAGAUUAAUCCCGGCCGAGGCUCCCAGAGAGGGCGGUAAUGGAGACUCAAGCAAACAAUUCAUUCAUUGAACACGGCAGCUCUGAAACAGAAGUACAACACUCAAGUCUCCAGAUGAACUAUAGCAGAUUCUCCAAGAUUCUCAGGUAAACUUUAUUUCUUCAUGCAAUUGCACAAAGUUUACCUUUGACUACUGAUGAAUUUUUCUUUAGAUUGCCUUUUCUUUAAAUUGCUGUUUGUUUGUUACUGUUAACUGCUCUUCAUAGUAUACUUUAUGUAGACUUUUUGAAAGGCAUUUUUUGCCAUAUUUUUCUUUUGCACAGCACUUAACUUUGGUAUCUCUUUAUAAAAGGGGUGUUUAGUUUUGUACCUCCAAACAAAAUAUUUUUGGUCCAAAUUUAUUUGGUUCUUUUUAGUGCCUAGUCCUGAUGCACAAAUGUAGCCUCAACCAAAUCUCUAUGGGAAAAUUUCUUGUUUACAUAUAUCUGUUUUUUUGUUGUUGUUUUUAAAUCUAUUUAGAAGACAUUACCUGUCUUUCGAUAAUUGAUAAUAAUGAAUUGCUAUGUGGUUCCUUUCCUAAUUCCUGCUUUAUUUAUAAUAGCUUUAAAAAAAUUAGCAUAUCAUGUUAAAGGACAUGAUGUAAAGUGGAGUUUUGCCCUUUUAAAUGAACAAAAACCACAACACAUGUAUGUAUAUAUAAAAUGCAGGAUGACACACUGCCAGUUCUGUAUGCCUAAUGCUUUAGUUGCACGGCCAAUUUUUAAGUGGUAAUUAAUUUGUUGGGAAAAUAAUAGCAUGUUAUUUUUCUCAAGAUAGGAUCAGCUGCAAAUCCCGUGAAAGGAGCAAGGAGAGGGCAUUUUGGGAUCCAGACUUUGGCUGAUGAAACAUCAUAAUUAACUGAGCAAUUCAUAAACUUGCAUUAGGAUAUUAAGGAUCAGGGUAUUAAUGAGUAAUGAGUAUACUGCUUUUGUGUGUCUGUGUGUGUGUGUGUUUAUAAGAGCUCCCAGUCAUGUAUGACAAAAUUUGCCAGCAUGAUCUUUCAGAAACCAGAUCACUUCAAAGACACUAAACAUGAAUAUACUAAUGGCCUUUAUACAACAGUUAGUUCCAGUCAACUAAUUUGUUUAAGCAAGCAGCAAACCAAGGGAGCUUAUAUUUAGUAUAACCACAAUGGAAUGUUUCAGGUUUUGUGUCAUUUUGCUCAUUUGUGUUUUGCCUGUCAAUUACACAAUUAAUACACAUACAAUUCCAAUUCUAGUGAUAGGUCUACACCUACAUUACAGCAUGCAACAUCAUCAAACAUGGCUCCCUAUCAAUCAUGGGGAUGUUAGCAAAUCUGUGAGGGCAUACAUGUGAAAGUGGACAGAGAGAGCUGUCUUUCUUGUGUGUUACGCCACGAUGUUGUAUGAGCAGCAGUUCAAAAAUGAUGUGGUCUGCUGGCUUCACAUGCUUCUUCCAAAGACGUCUCUCCUUGGUAGCUGUCACAUAAUAAGAAAAAGCCCCUUUAACAUAAAAGUACAAAUCUAUAAAGUGAUUAUAGGGAUCUAUAUCCUGUAACGGAGCAAGAACAAAA